rnacentral:lncRNA from 13 species
GACCUCUCUGUACUGUGGAAAGUCCAUCACUCCCGAUGUAAACAAAGCGCAGGGCACUAUAGAGACAAUCCAUCCUAUGACUCCCAUAGUGAUGCCCAUGAUCUCCAUGCCCUUCAACAUGCUGGCUCCCUGCGAGCGUCUCUCUCUCCUACACCUGCACUUCCUGGAAGAACGAGGAUGUGACUCAGCAAAGUGAAUCCAGAACAGUGGAGAUGUUAUACUUCCAGAGAAGAUCCUGGAUUCUACAGGCCUACAGCUUUAGUCUUUGCAGAUGAAGUUCUAGAACAGCAGAUUGUUCAACAUUAUUUUCUCACAGACGAUUGUUGCAGAGUUCUUCUGUGAGUCUAGAGAGGCCGGCCAAUCAGAAGCCAUCUAAGGGGCCAUGGAAACACAACCUGUACAGAUGUGGUGAAGUCUGUGGUUGUGAGUUUCUAGUCGAGCCUGUUUCUACCCCAGCUGUUUUAUUGUUGCCCUGGCAGAACUAUGCAAUAUGGCAAUAUUGCAAAGGAUACAACUUAUUUGUUCAGAUGUGGGGCGGUAUGUGGUUGACACACACUUAACGGAGAUGCUAGUGGCAUUCAGUUAGAUUUAAACUACAUGCUGAAAAACCCUUGAGUGUGAAACAAACAAUCUUAAGGUUCGAGCCAUGGACUGAAAUGAACUAUACAAUAGACUAAAUUUACGAAUGAUAACAGUUUCAUAAACAUGGUUUAAAUAAUUACACACUAUUAUUUUGUUCAGAAGGUCCCUGUAACUGACUGUAGGAUUGUGGUUAAUAACGUGGUGAACAUANNNNNNNNNNNNNNNNNNNNNNNNNNNNNNNGAGCCAUGGACUGAAAUGAACUAUACAAUAGACUAAAUUUACGAAUGAUAACAGUUUCAUAAACAUGGUUUAAAUAAUUACACACUAUUAUUUUGUUCAGAAGGUCCCUGUAACUGACUGUAGGAUUGUGGUUAAUAACGUGGUGAACAUAAACAGGAAAUGCACAGCAGCAACCAGGAAAUAUUUUGCAGUCAGAUACAAUUAUUUUAUUUUAACAUAUUUAACAGGGUUAAACAUUCAACUACUGAUUCAAUUCAUCUCUACUUAAAUGCAUCCCAUUUUAAAGAAGCAUAAAGAGAAGUNNNNNNNNNNCAAAUGUGGAAAAAAAACAGUUAGGUUUAAAUAUAAAUAAGUUGGUAUAAACAGAGAUCAAUUUAUUUUGCCCUUUCACAGGAAACCAGCAUUCUAAGUG